CGCCAGAUAGCUCAGUUGGUAGAGCACCUGACUAGACAUACAGGGGGCCCGGGUUCGAAUCCCGGUUUGGUUC
rfam:Crassostrea gigas strain 05x7-T-G4-1.051#20 contig10658, whole genome shotgun sequence.